rnacentral:lncRNA from 1 species
CCGCCACUACUAGUGGCGGUGAUGCUCACACUCCACAGGCAUGACAGGGAACCUAGCAGUGUCGGUACAAUAGUCAUACACCAAGUGGUUGGCCCUCACCCACACCAGCUGGUGGCUCUGGUGCACGCUUAGCUCCGACAUUGUCGGUUCAUCCCACCAGAACCUCUUCUCGCCGCUGCUCCUACAUUUCUCGGCAAUUUCAUUGGCGGCUACCGAAACUGGGCACUCGCACGCGUCGAUUUCAAACCCUUUGUAAGUGGCAAUGAAUGGUGCAUGGCUCCAAUCGGUCUUCACUAGGCCACCCUGUGUGGCCCAAUCAUCGGCAUUCCAUAUUGAACUAUAUACGCCCAUGGCUUGGUCUUUGGGAAAAGGAAUCCCUUUGUGUUCCAUGUUGGUGUGCACUCUUAUUGGGGUCUCGUCCACUAAAAAUCUGAUAUUUAAAAAAAGAAACAAAAAAAAAACAAAAAUAUACGUCAAAAUAAUUCCCAGCACCAAGAAUGUAAAAAUCCAAAACGCACAAAAAUCAAUAUGUACCCACCAACAUUUUAAUUUCAUGUCUUAGAACAUAAAAUAAUAAUUGAAUGCCCUUUUCUAAAAAGAAUGUAGCCUUUUAACACUAAUUACAACUCUUCAUUAAAUCCAACACUUAUUAAGUGUUUCUCUUUUAACUUUUAACUUAUACAUAUAAGCACCCACAUGUAUUUAAGUAUGACAUUGUAACAAUACUCACACAACUUGGCGCUGGUUCCAGAGGAUGGAAUAAGAGUGAAAGUCUUUGGUAGGGUCAAACCAAAGGUUCAUCCUUUGCUCUCUGUUGCCUACACCAUUGACGUACACAUUGGUCUGAACGAGGUAAGGUUCACCUGUGGUAUUGCCUAGGAACUCGA